UACGUAGGUGGCAAGCGUUGUCCGGAUUUACUGGGCGUAAAGAGCGCGCAGGCGGUCGAUCAAGUCGCGUGUGAAAGCCCCCGGCUCAACUGGGGAGGGUCACGCGAUACUGAUCGACUCGAAGGCAGGAGAGGGUAGUGGAAUUCCCGGUGUAGUGGGUGAAAUGCGUAGAUAUCGGGAGGAACACCAGUGGCGAAGGGCGACUACCUGGCCUGUUCUGACGCUGAGGCGCGUAAAGCUAAGGGGGCAA
rnacentral:rRNA from 1 species